rnacentral:rRNA from 1 species
UACGUAGGGGGCUAGCGUUGCUCGGAAUCACUGGGCGUAAAGCGCACGUAGGCGGUUUCUUAAGUCGGGGGUGAAAUCCUGGAGCUCAACUCCAGAACUGCCUUCGAUACUGAGAGACUUGAGUCCGGGAGAGGUGAGUGGAACUGCGAGUGUAGAGGUGAAAUUCGUAGAUAUUCGCAAGAACACCAGUGGCGAAGGCGGCUCACUGGCCCGGUACUGACGCUGAGGUGCGAAAGCGUGGGGAGCAAACAGG